GUGCCAGCAGCCGCGGUAAUACCGGCAGCCCAAGUGAUGGCCGCUGUUAUUGGGCCUAAAGCGUCCGUAGCUGGCCGCACAAGUCCGUCGGGAAAUCCACCCGCCCAACGGGUGGCCGUCCGGUGGAAACUGUACGGCUUGGGACCGGAAGGCGCGACGGGUACGUCCAGGGUAGGAGUGAAAUCCCGUAAUCCUGGACGGACCGCCGAUGGCGAAAGCACGUCGCGAGAACGGAUCCGACAGUGAGGGACGAAAGCUAGGGCCUCGAACCGGAUUAGAUACCCUGGUAGUCC
rnacentral:rRNA from 1 species